UACGUAGGGGGCAAGCGUUGUCCGGAAUCAUUGGGCGUAAAGAGCGUGUAGGCGGUUCAGUAAGUCUGCUGUGAAAGUCCAGGGCUCAACCCUGGGAUGCCGGUGGAUACUGCUGGGCUAGAGUACGGAAGAGGCGAGUGGAAUUCCCGGUGUAGAGGUGAAAUUCGUAGAUAUCGGGAGGAACACCAGUGGCGAAGGCGACUUCUUGGCCUGUUCUUGACGCUGAGGCGCGAAAGCUGGGGGAGCAAACGGG
rnacentral:rRNA from 1 species